rnacentral:rRNA from 1 species
UACGGAGGGUGCAAGCGUUAAUCGGAAUUACUGGGCGUAAAGCGUGCGCAGGCGGUUUGUUAAGUCUGUUGUGAAAUCCCCGAGCUCAAUUUGGGAAUUGCAAUGGAUACUGGCAGGCUGGAGUAUGGUAGAGGAAGGUGGAAUUCCCGGUGUAGCAGUGAAAUGCGUAGAGAUCGGGAGGAACACCAGUGGCGAAGGCGGCCUUCUGGACCAAUACUGACGCUCAUGCACGAAAGCGUGGGGAGCAAACAGG